rnacentral:snRNA from 1 species
GUCGCUUCUCGGCCUUUUGGCUAAGAUCAAGUGUAGUACCUGAUGUUUCCAAUUGAACUUCUUCAGCUUAGACUUGGCAAUAAAUUUGAAGCAGGCUUUCACAAAUACUGUUCGUUUCUUUGUUCUGCACCUAAGAAAAGAAAAAGUAAGUUCUC